rfam:Schistosoma rodhaini strain Burundi genome assembly, scaffold: SROB_scaffold0015190
AUGCAACUAAACGGUCCCAAAUAGGACGAAACGUGCGUCCUGGAU